CUCCUACGGGUGGCUGCAGUAACGAAUAUUGGGCAAUGGGCGAAAGCCUGACCCAGCAAUGCCGCGUGCAGGAGGAAGCCCCUCGGGGUGUAAACUGCUGUCAGGGUCCAACAAGCAAAGUCGGUUAAUAGCCGGCGGCGCUGAGUAGACCCAAAGGAAGCCUCGGCUAACUCUGUGCCAGCAGCCGCGGUAAGACAGAGGAGGCAAGCGUUGUUCGGAUUCAUUGGGCUUAAAGAGCGCGUAGGCGGCUCGGUAAGCGUCCUGUGAAAGCCCACGGCUCAACCGUGGAAUUGCAGGGCGAACUGCUUGGCUUGAGGUUGGUAGAGGUGCCUGGAACUCUAGGUGGAGCGGUGAAAUGCGUAGAUAUCUAGAGGAACGCCAGAUGCGAAAGCGGGGCACUGGGCCAAUUCUGACGCUGAGGCGCGAAAGCGUGGGGAGCAAACAGGAUUAGAUACCCUGGUAGUCCACGCUGUAAACGAUGCACACUAGAUCUGGGAGGCUCUGACGUCGCCCGGGUCCAAGCGAAAGCGUUAAGUGUGCCGCCUGGGGACUACGGCCGCAAGGCUAAAACUCAAAGGAAUUGACGGGGGCUCACACAAGCGGUGGAG
rnacentral:rRNA from 1 species